rnacentral:rRNA from 1 species
UACGGGGGGGGCAAGCGUUGUUCGGAAUUACUGGGCGUAAAGGGCGCGUAGGCGGCCCUCUAAGUCAGACGUGAAAUCCCACGGCUCAACCGUGGAACUGCGUCUGAUACUGGAGGGCUUGAAUCCGGGAGAGGGAUGUGGAAUUCCAGGUGUAGCGGUGAAAUGCGCAGAUAUCAGGAGGAACACCGGUGGCGAAGGCGGGUCUCUGGGCCGAUACUGACGCUGAGGAGCGAAAGCGUGGGGAGCGAACAGG